rnacentral:rRNA from 1 species
AACGAACGCUGGCGGCGUGCCUAACACAUGCAAGUCGAACGAGAAAGCUCUUCGGAGUGAGUAGAGUGGCGAACGGGUGAGUAAUGCAUAGGAACGUACCGAUAAGUGGGGAAUAACAGUUGGAAACGACUGCUAAUACCGCAUGUGGAGUUAUCUAAAGGUGGCCUCUUCUUGAAAGCUACCGCUUAUCGAUCGGCCUAUGUCCCAUUAGCUUGUUGGCGGGGUAACGGCCCACCAAGGCAACGAUGGGUAGCUGGUCUGAGAGGAUGAUCAGCCACACUGGGACUGAGACACGGCCCAGACUCCUACGGGAGGCAGCAGUGGGGAAUAUUGCACAAUGGGCGCAAGCCUGAUGCAGCAACGCCGCGUGAGUGAAGAAGGCCCUUGGGUCGUAAAGCUCUUUCGGAUAGGAAGAAGGUUAUAAUUGCGAACAGUCUUUAUAACUGACGGUACUAUCAUAAGAAGCACUGGCUAAUUCCG